rnacentral:tRNA from 1 species
GACCCCAUCGUCUAGUGGCCUAGGACAGCGGAUUCUCAUUCCGCUAACCGGGAUUCGAAUUCCCGUGGGGUCAC